AGAGCCUCGCCUCUACCGUGACCUCCUGCAAACUCCAGCCUGGAGCCCGGCAAAGCUUAGGGUCUGCUCCAUGACCCAAAGCCUUUCCCUGUGGCAGGGCAUGUUCACAACUCCCCUCCUAUGCAGGCCUGUCAAGGAGCCAUACUAGGCCAAGCAAGUAACUAGCUUUAUGCUGCUAUGUCUGGCAAGCUGAGAGCAACGCCCUAGAAGGCCAGGCAGCCUGGCCCUGCCCAGCUCUGAGGGGAGUAGGUGGAAGGGCCGGCAGAGGCCGCUCCUCAGCCCUUUCCUGCCCUGGGGUGGCCAGAGGAGCAGCUCUGGUGUCUGCUUUGUCACAUACACUUUCAGACCUGGAGUCUCACGUGGCUCCCAGACCGAGAUAAAACUUCCUGGAGCUGGGCACCAGCAGGUUGAGCUGCUGCGCGUCCAGAAGCCCGGGCAGAGGUGCCACCGCCUACCCCAGCUCCAAGGAAGUGGAGCUUGUGAAGGAAGGAGGGAGUCAGGCUCCCCAAACGCUGGCUUAAGGCCCGUCCAAAGAGGGGCCAAGAAACUCGGUGGUGGUAGGAGGCCCAGCGGGGAGACCUCACCUCCAAGAUAAGAGAGAAGAGCGAGGGCCACAGCUCAGCUGUCUGAGGGGUUCCUGGGGAACUGGCUAAGGGAGCAGCGCAUGCCAGCUGCAUGUGAAUGCACCAUGGGGCUGCACCACGGCUUGUUUAACCAGUGAACCAGGGAGCCGCGCUGGCAGCUCCAGUUUGUCUUACAGACGUCUCCUCUGUGAUCUUUGGACAUAUUCCUGAAAUAUACCAGCCUCGUCAGUUGUGAAACAUCAGAAGUCUCCAAGGCAAUGGGCUGAGAAAGACCUGUCACCAUGGUGCCUGUGACCACAGGCUUGCACAGCCCGACUCAGCGAAGACCCACGUGGAGCUCAGAGGCCUUGGGGACUUCGCUGUGAGGUUCUGGCCUCAGCCUACUUUUGGGACCAAGGAGGAAGAAUCUAAGUAGCAGUGGGCGGUUAGUCCUUCCGAUGUCACUGCUAUCACAAAGGCAAACAAAUCCAUAUUGAAGUAGGUGCCCACUGUGACCUUCUCACCUAUCAUCUGGGGGCUUGUAGUGUCACUGGUGUUCACGCAACCGUCUCUCAUGCCAGGCCAGGGUUGAUAGUUCUGACUCUAGCUUCUGCUUAGAUGACAGACUUGGGCUCAGGAAGGAGCUGAGCCUUCAGGGAGACAAGAGCCCUCCGGAACUUCAUGCACUCAAAGCCAGCCAGGGAGCUCCCUGUGCCCAGGGCUAGCUAGCCCCACGCGGGCUUCCCUAUGCGCUAGCCGGUGGGCACCAGCAUUAAUAUUAGCAUAGUUUGCCUGUUAUGAGACGGCCUUGGACCUUCUUCUCUCCCAAUCAACUAGAAUGUCUGCCAUAGAGAAUUCCAGAUGCUCUUCUGGAAUUUUCAUUAUGAUCAGGUUGCUAAGGAACCAUCCUCCACCUGUAAGCAUUUUGGAAAUACUCUCAUCAGCAAAGGGGUUUUUUUUUUUUGUAGCAAGUGUGGGUUUUUAAAUAUAAAUGUAUUCCUCUCUCCUUCCCUGCCCAUCUCUGGCUCACCCAUGCAAGGAGCUGGCAUCAGGAAACUCCAGAAAGAAGAAAGAAGGAAUGCAGAAAGCAUGGAAAAGGUUGCCCGAGCUUCCCAUGCAGAACGGGAUCGUGCCCGUAUUGUUUGCCAGUGAAUUCCCAGGACCUUGCGUGGCAGGCACACAGAAAUUUCGAAUAGUAUAGUCACUGCUGUCUACCAAGGUUUGGGUUAGUGACAGCCCACAUACUAGACAG